AGAGUUUUGGAUCCUGGCUCAGGAUGAACGGCUGGCGGCGUGCCUAACACAUGCAAGUCGAACGAAGACUGUGUGACGGAACUCUCCGGAGGGAAGACGCGCAGGACUGAGUGGCGGACGGGUGAGUAACGCGUGGGUAACCUGCCCUGUACAGGGGGACAACAGCUGGAAACGGCUGCUAAUACCGCAUAAGCCUACAGUACCGCAUGGUACAGCAGGAAAAACUCCGGUGGUACAGGAUGGGCCCGCGUCUGAUUAGUUAGUUGGCAGGGUAACGGCCUACCAAGACAACGAUCAGUAGCCGGCUUGAGAGAGUGAACGGCCACAUUGGGACUGAGACACGGCCCAAACUCCUACGGGAGGCAGCAGUGGGGGAAUAUUGCACAAUGGGGGGAAACCCUGAUGCAGCAACGCCGCGUGAGUGAAGAAGUAUUUCGGUAUGUAAAGCUCUAUCAGCAGGGAAGAAAAUGACGGUACCUGACUAAGAAGCUCCGGCUAAAUACGUG
rnacentral:rRNA from 1 species